UACAGAGGUCUCAAGCGUUGUUCGGAUUCAUUGGGCGUAAAGGGUGCGUAGGUGGCGCGGUAAGUCGGGUGUGAAAUCUCGGAGCUUAACUCCGAAACUGCAUUCGAUACUGCGGUGCUUGAGGACUGGAGAGGAGACUGGAAUUCAUGGUGUAGCAGUGAAAUGCGUAGAUAUCGUGAGGAAGACCAGUGGCGAAGGCGGGUCUCUGGACAGUUCCUGACGCUGAGGCGCGAAGGCCAGGGGAGCAAACGGGAUUAG
rnacentral:rRNA from 1 species